rnacentral:rRNA from 1 species
GUGGGGAAUUUUGGACAAUGGGCGCAAGCCUGAUCCAGCAAUGCCGCGUGCAGGAAGAAGGCCUUCGGGUUGUAAACUGCUUUUGUACGGAACGAAACGGUCCGGGUUAAUACCCUGGGCUAAUGACGGUACCGUAAGAAUAAGCACCGGCUAACUACGUGCCAGCAGCCGCGGUAAUAAGUAGGGGGCAAGCGUUAAUCGGAAUUACUGGGCGUAAAGCGUGCGCAGGCGGUUUUGUAAGACAGGCGUGAGAUCCCCGGGCUCAACCUGGGAAUUGCGCUUGUGACUGCAAGGCUGGAGUGCGGCAGAGGGGGAUGGAAUUCCGCGUGUAGCAGUGAAAUGCGUAGAUAUGCGGAGGAACACCGAUGGCGAAGGCAAUCCCCUGGGCCUGCACUGACGCUCAUGCACGAAAGCGUGGGGAGCAAACAGGAUUAGAAACCCCUGUAGUCC